AUUAACUGUGAUUAAAUUGAUGAUUAAUUAGAUAUUGAAAAUGAUUAAAUUGAUGAUUGAUUAUAUAUUGAUUGUGAUUAGAUUGAUGAUAAUUAAAAGAUGAAUCGACUGUGAUUAAAUUGUUGAUAAUAUAAUGAUGGAUUGACUGAUUAAAUUGAUGAUAGAUUAUGUAAUGACUGGACUUCAAUUUCUUGAAUCAUGAUAUUUUCUCUUCUUACAGAGCUGCCUCCAAAAUUAACUCACCCCCAGUGGUGUGACAUAUUGAAAGGUUCUCCCACAUACCCCGUGACUACUCGUGUGGUCAACAGUGAACUCAUCAAGGGCUUGUGUGAAGAAAGUGUGAAAACAUUUCUCGGCGCAUCAUCACCUAAGGAGCUCGACUCAGGCCAACCUGUGAACUAUGACAGCUUGUCUAUCUAUAUUUUGUCUAAAUUUCAAACAUAUUGUCACUCUGGACAAUAUAAUCUCAUCCGAGUUGGUCCCAGGUUAGUGUUCCAGUACAAGACAAGACCACGCCUCUCAGUAGCCAGAUCCCAGGUCAGUGUUCCAGUACAGCUUGACCUACCCUGCUGGUGGAGGCUGACCAUCUCAUUAACCUGCAGUCUUACCUGAGUGUAGAUACCUGUGGGAGUCCUCGUUUACUCUAAGAAGAGUUUGAGAACUUUUUUGGCCUCAAGAGAUGUUUGCACCUUGACCACAGAAGCAAUUCCAGUCCUGUAGAAUUGAGGGAACGUCUCUUACCAUCCGAUCCCUUUCUGAAGACCACCUUUUGUAUGCAGUUGGUAUAAUUAAGUCUCCCCUCUCUCAGGGACAUAUUGUUUAUAGCUCACCUGAGCCAAAGGCUCAAAUGAGCUUUUCUUAUCAAAAUUUGUCUAUUGUCUGUCGUCAGUGUCGGCGGCGUCAGCCUCGUCGUUGUUGUAAACUUUUCACAUUUUUAUCUUCUUCUCCAGAACCACUGGAUCAAUUUCAACCAAACUUGACAAAAAGCAGCCUUGGGUGAAAGGCUUUCACUUUUGUUAAAAUGAAGGGUCAUCCCCCUUUGAAAGGGGAGAUAAUCACAAAAAUGGAAAAUAAGUGUAGGGUCAUUUAAAAAGCUUUUUAACAACCACUGGGCCAGAGGAGCUGACAUUUACAUGAAAGCUUCCUGAUAUAGUGCAGAUUCAAGUUUGUUCAAAUCAUGGCCCCUGGGGUAGGUUGGGACCACAGUAGGGAUCAAAGUUUUACAUAGAAAUAUAUAGGGAAAAUCUUUAAAAAUCUUCUCAAGAACGAUUGAACCAAAGAAGUUGACAUUUACAUGAAACAUGAAGCUUUCUGACAUAAUGCAGAUUCAAGUUUUUAAAAGCCAUGGCCUCCAGGGGUAGAUUGGGGCCACAAUAUGGACUAAGAUUUUACAUUCAAAUAUAUAUAUGGGGAGUCUUGAGAUAUGGGUCAAGGUGACUCAGGUGAGCGAUUUGGCCGAUGGGCCUCUUGUUGUAUUAUCUGUUCAUCUGUCUGUAUAUCCGUCCUGUCUGUCUGUCACACAAUCCUCCUUUAUGACUUGUUGGAUAAACUUGAAACUUUG